CCUUAACCCUCCCUGGACCAGAAAUAUCCCUGAAAGAACUUCUGCAGGUGCUGACAAUUCCCUGUCCUUAGAAGGAACAUUUCUUUGUCAACUUGGUGUUUGAGGAAGAUAUGACCCAAGGAAGACUGCAUCUGAUUAAAUAAAAUCAUCAUCUUCUCCAGAAGUUGAAAAUGAUCUUAAAAAUCAGCUGAUUUGGACCCUUUGCACAGGACUGGAUCUAUGACAAGAACAAAGGUCAUCUGACUUCUAAAUCAGUGCUCCAUCUCUUCCAAAUGCUACAAAUAUUCCUUGAGCAUCUCCUAUGAGAUCAGCACUAAUAAUAGGUGCUAUGAAGAGCUGUAUCCCCAAGGAGCUUAUAUCAUAAGAUCAUGUAUUUAGAACUAGAAUUCAGAAUCUAUGACAUGAUUCUGGUACCAAGUCAAUCAUGUCAACUGGUUCCCAGAGUUUUUUUCUCCUUUCAGGGAUCUGAACAGAAUUUGGAAUCAUGUAUCUUGUUUCUCAAGGACCAAGAACUCUCUUUUCCCAAACUCUGGCCAACUCAGCUCAUCCUGCAGAUGAACAAACUAAGUCCUGGAGAUCAUAAGAGAAACAUUCACGGUCAUGGAGGGAAUGUCAGCACCUGGCUUCUGAGUUCUGAUUCACUGCUGUUCCCAUUAAACUCCAUUGCUCUCCACUAGGGGUACUGUUUGUUCAGCAUCUCUGGCUCUCAAUGAAGCUCUUGUCUUUCCCACUCUGAUUAUGGGAGGGGGUUUUCUGAAACCGAAACAGGAAAAUUUUAUGUUGGACAAAGGUACUUUCUUGACAAGGUUAAUUAGUCCUAAAUCUUGUCUGGUGGAUGGAGAAGGUAGGCUGGGCAUUCAUCUUUGAGUAGAUGCCUCUUGGUUUGUUGCUGUCUAGACUAGAGACAAUGAGAUGAACAAGAAGGGGCAGUUAGGUGACAUAGUGAAUAGACCUGGAGUCAGGAAAACCUGAGU